UUGGAUCCAUUUUAUUUUUCUGUUGAUUGUGCUUGGUGAUUUGUUGCUGAUUAAUUGCUAGAAUGAGAUAACCCACCCCCAACCUCUCUUCCAUGUCUGUCUCAAGGUUCCUCAACCAUUGUUAAUGGAUUGAAUCACCUAAUUGCUGUCGGAGAUUACGGGAUUUCAUGGUGAACGUUUGUUCCCUUGCUCUCGUCUUCUUCCCUUCUUUUGUCAUGCUGGCCACCGUUGCUAG
rnacentral:lncRNA from 1 species